rnacentral:rRNA from 1 species
AGCAUACCUGCCAGUGCGACAUAUUACUGUAAACGGCCGCCCUAGCGUGAGGGUGCUAAGGUAGCGAAAUUCCUUGCCUUUUAAUUGUAGGCCUGCAUGAAUGGUUUAACGAGGGUUAAGCUGUCUCUAAGUUUAUAAGUUGAAAUUGUAUUAAAGGUGAAGAUACCUUUAUUUUGAAGUUAGACAAAAAGACCCCGUGCAACUUUGAAAAUUAGCUUUAUUAAAAGGUGAGAGAUUUUUAGGUGGGGCGCCUAGAGAGCUAGUUCUAACCUCUUUUACUGAGUUAUUAAAACUUUCAAGUCUUGACCCGGUUACACCCGAUCAUAGGAGAAGUUACGCCGGGGAUAACAGGCUAAUCCUUUAGUAGAGCUCGUAUUGGCUAAAGGGAUUGGCACCUCGAUGUUGAAUCAGGGAUGAUACCUUUGAGGCGUAGARGCUUCGAGAGUGGGUCUGUUCGACCUUUAAUACCCUACGUGAUCUGA